rnacentral:rRNA from 1 species
UCAAAUAAAUUACUGUACUAAGCUGUAGACGUAUCCGUUAAGGGCAAACACGAGGCAACUGGUGGUUGUCCCGAGUCGGGUUCAGAGGCGUUCAUACGUCAAGGCACAAAGCUCGUACGGCCCUCCGAUUCUGUAUCGGUACACUGAGACGGUAUAGAAGGUUUCGAUAAAUAUUUCUUUCCCUUGUGAAAUCCCAUCCAAGGUGACGUAUAUAUAGUGCGAUCGAAAUAAACCAGUAAAGAAGGGGUUGGUCGCGUGAGGUAACGAUUCUCCCAAACAAAGUAGUGUAGUAACCUCGAGACGUAUGUGUCAAGGGUCAAACACGGGGCAACUGGUGGAUGUCCCGAGUCGGGUUAAGAGGAGAUC